UGGGGAAUAUUGCACAAUGGGCGCAAGCCUGAUGCAGCCAUGCCGCGUGUAUGAAGAAGGCCUUCGGGUUGUAAAGUACUUUCAGCGGGGAGGAAGGGAGUAAAGUUAAUACCUUUGCUCAUUGACGUUACCCGCAGAAGAAGCACCGGCUAACUCCGUGCCAGCAGCCGCGGUAAUACGGAGGGUGCAAGCGUUAAUCGGAAUUACUGGGCGCAAAGCGCACGCAGGCGGUUUGUUAAGUCAGAUGUGAAAUCCCCGGGCUCAACCUGGGAACUGCAUCUGAUACUGGCAAGCUUGAGUCUCGUAGAGGGGGGUAGAAUUCCAGGUGUAGCGGUGAAAUGCGUAGAGAUCUGGAGGAAUACCGGUGGCGAAGGCGGCCCCCUGGACGAAGACUGACGCUCAGGUGCGAAAGCGUGGGGAGCAAACAGG
rnacentral:rRNA from 1 species